CCUUACCUACCCUUGACAUGGUCGGAAUCCUGAAGAGAUUCGGGAGUGCUCGAAAGAGAACCGGCGCACAGGUGCUGCAUGGCUGUCGUCAGCUCGUGUCGUGAGAUGUUGGGUUAAGUCCCGCAACGAGCGCAACCCUUGUCCUUAGUUGCUACGCAAGAGCACUCUAAGGAGACUGCCGGUGACAAACCGGAGGAAGGUGGGGAUGACGUCAAGUCCUCAUGGCCCUUAUGGGUAGGGCUUCACACGUCAUACAAUGGUCGGAACAGAGGGUUGCCAACCCGCGAGGGGGAGCUAAUCCCAGAAAACCGUUCGUAGUCCGGAUUGCACUCUGCAACUCGAGUGCAUGAAGCUGGAAUCGCUAGUAAUCGCGGAUCAGC
rnacentral:rRNA from 1 species